UGGGGAAUAUUGGACAAUGGGCGCAAGCCCGAUCCAGCCAUGCCGCGCGUGUGAAGAAGGCCUUUUGGUUGUAAAGCACUUUAAGCGAGGAGGAGGCUACUUGGAUUAAUACUCUAGGAUAGUGGACGCUACUUGCAGAAUAAGCACCGUCUAACUCUGUGCCAGCAGCCGCGGUAAUACAGAGGGUGCGAGCGUUAAUCGGAUUUACUGGGAGUAAAGCGUGCGUAGGCGGCUUCUUAAGUCAGAUGUAAAAUCCCUGAGCUUAACUUAGGAAUUGCAUUCGAUACUCGGAAGCUAGAGUAUGAGAGAGAAUGGUAGAAUUCCAGGUGUAGCGGUGAAAUGCGUAGAGAUCUGGAGGAAUACCGAUGGCGAAGGAAGCCAUCUAGCCUAUUACUGACGCUGAGGUACGAAAGCAUGGGGAGCAAGCAAG
rnacentral:rRNA from 1 species